rnacentral:rRNA from 1 species
UGGGGAAUAUUGCACAAUGGAGGGAACUCUGAUGCAGCGACGCCGCGUGAACGAAGAAGGCUUUCGAGUCGUAAAGUUCUUUUAUAUGGGAAGAUAAUGACGGUACUAUAAGAAAAAGCCCCGGCUAACUACGUGCCAGCAGCCGCGGUAAUACGUAGGGGGCUAGCGUUGUCCGGAAUCACUGGGCGUAAAGGGUUCGCAGGCGGAAAUGCAAGUCAGGUGUAAAAGGCAGUAGCUUAACUACUGUAAGCAUUUGAAACUGCAUAUCUUGAGAAGAGUAGAGGUAAGUGGAAUUUUUAGUGUAGCGGUGAAAUGCGUAGAUAUUAAAAAGAAUACCGGUGGCGAAGGCGACUUGCUGGGCUCAUUCUGACGCUGAGGAACGAAAGCGUGGGUAGCAAACAGG